AACUGAAGAGUUUGAUCAUGGCUCAGAUUGAACGCUGGCGGCAGGCUUAACACAUGCAAGUCGAGCGGGGGAAGGUAGCUUGCUACUGGACCUAGCGGCGGACGGGUGAGUAAUGCUUAGGAAUCUGCCUAUUAGUGGGGGACAACAUCUCGAAAGGGAUGCUAAUACCGCAUACGUCCUACGGGAGAAAGCAGGGGAUCUUCGGACCUUGCGCUAAU
rnacentral:rRNA from 1 species